UACGCAGGGGGCUAGCGUUGUUCGGAUUUACUGGGCGUAAAGCGCACGUAGGCGGAUUGUUAAGUCAGGGGUGAAAUCCCGGAGCUCAACUCCAGAACUGCCUUUGAUACUGGCAAUCUUGAGUCCGGAAGAGGUGAGUGGAACUCCUAGUGUAGAGGUGGAAUUCGUAGAUAUUAGGAAGAACACCAGUGGCGAAGGCGGCUCACUGGUCCGGUACUGACGCUGAGGUGCGAAAGCGUGGGGAGCGAACAGG
rnacentral:rRNA from 1 species